rnacentral:rRNA from 1 species
UGGGGAAUAUUGGACAAUGGGCGCAAGCCUGAUCCAGCCAUGCCGCGUGAGUGACGAAGGUCUUCGGAUUGUAAAACUCUUUUGGCGGGGACGAUAAUGACGGUACCCGCAGAAUAAGCCCCGGCUAACUUCGUGCCAGCAGCCGCGGUAAUACGAAGGGGGCUAGCGUUGUUCGGAAUCACUGGGCGUAAAGCGCACGUAGGCGGAUGUGCCAGUCAGGGGUGAAAUCCCGGAGCUCAACUCCGGAACUGCCUCUGAUACUGCACGUCUUGAGUUCGAGAGAGGUGGGUGGAAUUCCUAGUGUAGAGGUGAAAUUCGUAGAUAUUAGGAAGAACACCGGUGGCGAAGGCGGCCCACUGGCUCGGUACUGACGCUGAGGUGCGAAAGCGUGGGGAGCAAACAGGAUUAGAUACCCCCGUAGUCCCUGAGCGGGCUGGCAAGGCGCAU